AGCUCCAAUAGUGUACACUUAAGUUGUUGCGGUUAAAAAGCUCGUAGUUGGACCUGGAUGUUUGGUUCGCAUUGGUACCCGGCUUAAGCUUCGGCUGCCGGGAAUUCUACCAAGCCUACCUACUUCUUUCUUCUCGGCGUUUAGGAAACUUCGGUUUCUGCUAGAGACAGUUUACUUUGAAAAAAUUAGGGUGUUCAAAGCAGGCGUAAUCCGCCUCUGAAUACAUUAGCAUGGGAUAAUAGAAAAGGACUUUUACCUCCACUUUGUUGGUUCCCGAGGCUAAGGUAAUGAUUAAAAGGAACAGUUGGGGCUGUCUGUACUUAGUGGUCAGAGGUGAAAUUCUAGGACCCACUAAAGACAAACAAAUGCGAAGGCAUUCAGCAAGGAUGUUUUCAUUA
rnacentral:rRNA from 1 species